rnacentral:rRNA from 1 species
AACGAACGCUGGCGGCAGGCCUAACACAUGCAAGUCGAGCGAAGUCCUCGGACUUAGCGGCGGACGGGUGAGUAACGCGUGGGAACGUGCCCUUUGGUUCGGAAUAGCCCCGGGAAACUGGGAGUAAUACCGGAUGAGCUCUACGGAGGAAAGAUUUAUCGCCAAAGGAUCGGCCCGCGUUGGAUUAGGUAGUUGGUGGGGUAAUGGCCUACCAAGCCGACGAUCCAUAGCUGGUUUGAGAGGAUGAUCAGCCACACUGGGACUGAGACACGGCCCAGACUCCUACGGGAGGCAGCAGUGGGGAACCUUAGACAAUGGGGGAAACCCUGAUCUAGCCAUGCCGCGUGAUCGAUGAGGGCCUUAGGGUUGUAAAGAUCUUUCAGUGGGGAAGAUAAUGACUGUACCCACAGAAGAAGCCCCGGCUAACUCCGUGCCAGCCGCCGCGGUAAGAC